rnacentral:rRNA from 1 species
UACGUAGGGUGCGAGCGUUGUCCGGAAUUACUGGGCGUAAAGAGCUUGUAGGCGGUUUGUCGCGUCGGCUGUGAAAUCCCGAGGCUCAACCUCGGGUCUGCAGUCGAUACGAGCAAACUAGAGUGUUGCAGGGGAGACUGGAAUUCCUGGUGUAGCGGUGAAAUGCGCAGAUAUCAGGAGGAACACCGGUGGCGAAGGCGGGUCUCUGGGCAACAACUGACGCUGAGGAGCGAAAGCGUGGGGAGCGAACAGG